UGGGGAAUAUUGCACAAUGGGGGAAACCCUGAUGCAGCGACGCCGCGUGAGUGAUGAAGUAUUUCGGUAUGUAAAGCUCUAUCAGCAGGGAAGAUAAUGACGGUACCUGACUAAGAAGCUCCGGCUAAAUACGUGCCAGCAGCCGCGGUAAUACGUAUGGAGCAAGCGUUAUCCGGAUUUACUGGGUGUAAAGGGAGCGCAGACGGCAGGGCAAGUCUGAUGUGAAAGUCCGGGGCUCAACCCCGGGACUGCAUUGGAAACUGUCCGGCUAGAGUGCAGGAGAGGUAAGUGGAAUUCCUAGUGUAGCGGUGAAAUGCGUAGAUAUUAGGAGGAACACCAGUGGCGAAGGCGGCUUACUGGACUGUAACUGACGUUGAGGCUCGAAAGCGUGGGGAGCAAACA
rnacentral:rRNA from 1 species